rnacentral:lncRNA from 1 species
AACUCUUCUUUAUUGGCCAUGGCCCUUGGCCUUAAAGGGUGUUAUUUCGAACUUGUUGAAAUAUUAACUCGUCGUCGCUUGAUAAAGGUGGAACUCUUCUUCUUUGGCGAAGGCCCUUGGCCAUAAAGGAUGUUAUUUCGAACUUAUCAAAAUGUUAACCCGUCGUCAUUCGAUCAAGGUCGAACUCUUCUUCUUUGGAGAAGGCCCUUGUCCUUAAACGGCGUUUAUUUCUAACUUGUAGAAAUAUUAACCCUUCGUCGUACGAUCAAGGUCGAACUCUUCUUCUUUGGCG